rnacentral:misc_RNA from 1 species
UGUGGGAGCGAGCCUGCUCGCGAUAGCGGUGGGUCAGGCAACAUUGAUGUUGAAUGUCAGUCCGUCAUCGCGAGCAGGCUCGCUCCCACA